rnacentral:tRNA from 1 species
CCGACCUUAGCUCAGUUGGUAGAGCGGAGGACUGUAGUGGGAGUAAAAUCCUAGUUGUUAUCCUUAGGUCGCUGGUUCGAAUCCGGCAGGUCGGA